GCAGGUGUAGCUCAAUCGGUAGAGCGUCUGGUUGCCAAUCAGAAGGCAGAGGGAUCGUAACCCUUCACCCGCUCGA
rnacentral:tRNA from 1 species